rnacentral:rRNA from 1 species
GACGAACGCUGGCGGCGUGCUUAACACAUGCAAGUCGAACGGAAAGGCCCUGCUUUUGUGGGGUGCUCGAGUGGCGAACGGGUGAGUAACACGUGAGUAACCUGCCCUUGACUUUGGGAUAACUUCAGGAAACUGGGGCUAAUACCGGAUAGGAGCUCCUGCUGCAUGGUGGGGGUUGGAAAGUUUCGGCGGUUGGGGAUGGACUCGCGGCUUAUCAGCUUGUUGGUGGGGUAGUGGCUUACCAAGGCUUUGCCGGGUAGCCGGCCUGAGAGGGUGACCGGCCACGUUGGGACUGGGAUACGGCCCAGACUCCUCCGGGAGGCAGCAGUGGGGUAUAUUGCACAAUGGGCGGAAGCCUGAUGCAGCAACGCCGCGUGCGGGAUGACGGCCUUCGGUUUGUAAACCGCUUUCGCCUGUGACGAAGCGUGAGUGACGGUAAUGGGUAAAGAAGCACCGGCUAACUACGUG